GCGAGGGCGAGCUGAGAAAGCGAAAGCGAAAGCGAAAGAGAACGCUGCAUAAAGGCCUCUUGUGUCCUUGUCUAAUAACGCAUGCUCGUUCGUAUAGCAAACAUAUAAGUGUAUAGCCAACACAAACAUUGUCAGUGUCAUGCCUGAUUAGACAAGGACAGAAGACACUUUUAUGCAGCGUUCUUUCUACUCCUAUAUCGCAUCCACUUACACGAUAAUUUAAGACUAUAUGACUCGCGUACUCUAACUCUUUGUAUAUCUAUGGUUAUAAUAGACAUUUAUUGCAGUCUCACAGUUGUUAGAAAUUUUGAGUUUUAGGACAUGUCUAAGAAUCAUCGAAAUGGAAAGGUUUCCUCGGUGCGUCAAUAUCUUCAAGAAUUCGUGGACAUGGCUGCAAGCGUUAGUGGAGAGGACAGAGUCGUUCUAUCAGGCGUAACGAUCAGUGGACAGUCCUGUGCGAAAUCUUCAGUUGCGAACAGUAUCUCCAAGCAUCGAUGAAGGUGAGAAUACGUGCCUGGUGACAUUGCAUCGUUGACACGGGAUACAUUGUCGUGCCCAAGUCCGGCAAUCUUUAUUUACGGACGGUCAAAUGAAACGCGACGUCACCAAUUUUUGCGUGGCACGUAUCUCUGGAUGGGAAAGUCCGUGGAGCGAAUUAAACACGUCGCGCCGCAAGGAUUUCGGUACGUACCAUCGUACAAUGUCGCCUGAUAUGUCGCAAUAAAUUUCUACCUAUAA